rnacentral:rRNA from 1 species
UAUAAGGAAGUAAGAUCCCUGAAAGAUGAUCAGGUUGAUAGGUCUGAGGUGGAAGUGUGGCGACACAUGGAGCUGACAGAUACUAAUCGAUCGAGGACUUAACCUAA